GCGGAAGGUGGGGUGUGGGGCCGGAAGACCCUCCCCCCGCGUCUUCAGAGGAGCGCUGUUUCUGGAGGAGUUAGGGGAAGGAGGCUGCCUGGUAAGCCAGGAAAGGGGCUUCUGGCCGUUCUGUUGGAGCGCCUCUGACUGACUUCCCCCAUGUGUCCGUGUGGCCACACCGUGCUACUUUCAGAGGCAGUGGGCUUUUCGCUAAGGGAUAAAAAGAAGUAAAACCUUGCCUUUAGCGCAGCUCUCCUUCACUGGGCAGAUUGCUCUCCCUCCCCACUCUCCCAGGCCCAAAUUGGAUCUCAGCGCCUGGGAGCUCCAACUUUAGCAAGUGCGAAAUCCUGUCUUCGGUUUUGGAAUUUUCAUCCGCACAGACUAUAUCAGCCACGGAUAGGAUAUGUGAGAAUACCAGCAUGUCAAGGCUGGGAAUCAUCCUUAGGCAUCACCUAGCCAGUCCUGCCUCUCAUUUUAAGAUGCAGAGUGUUCAUAUGAGGAGAGACUUUCCCUUGUCUCCGUCAUCUGUGAUUUCACUUCCCUGACAGAAGACGAAGCUUCCAUCUCAGAUGUUUUCUUAAAUGAUGAAACAGCAUACGCCUCUGUUCUUGUCAGCUCAGGGAAAACAGAUCUGGGGACCUCUUCAUCUCUGCGUUGGGAAGCAUAGGUGGUAUAAUCCCCUCCUGUCACGUCCAACGUUGCAUAGUCAGAAGCUUCGCCCUUGUAGUUGGUGCACACAGCACGGUGAUCACAGGAUCUGGUUUGCCACUGAAAGGAAUCUUGAUGCUGACCACUUCACCUCGGAGAGCAUGAACUGCUCCCAUGCCUUCAAGAGUUUUAG
rnacentral:lncRNA from 1 species